UGAGGAGAUUCAGCACAGACACAAUCACUUCACUCAGAGGGGGAGUCUCAUCUCUGAAGAACUGCAUUCUGGGUAUGAAGAUGCUGAUGAGCUUCUCUCAGCAAAAGAGUUCAAUACUGUAUAUUAUGAUGAUGUCACCAAUGGCAGUGGCCUAAAAG